AUGCCAUUGGCCUGUAGUGUACUCGAAGGCAUUAUUUCUGUUACCUACACCGCGGUCCCAGAUCACCUCCUUGGCAGUAUUAUCGACGAAGAAGAAAGACCCUAUGAUCCCGUCAACUUCGUGCUCCACUGCUCCGAUGACUCCCACGAUGUUCCGUUGUGCAUCCUGCAUCCGUGGCCUCUCGGGGAUCAUCCGGAUUCGUCGACGGUGAGGAAGCCUUUCCUCAUGUUCGUCACCGUCGUGGGGUUCAUGCUUUUCUUCGUGCUCUACAUAGCGACGUCUACGACUGUACCGACCUCUGGCGUGGAUUACGACGCUUUCGUCAAUCAAUCCACCUCCGAGUUCAUCACGGACCGAGAACUUUCGUCGGCGACCGCCGCUAGCGACACUUCUCCGACAACGGUGCGCAGCAUUGGGACGUCAUCCGUUGAAGACUCUAGGAGCUCGGAAUAUUAUACUGAAGCUACGGAACCGAGCACGACGAGCGUGGAGCAGUCCGAAGAUGAAGCUCCAGUUCCCGUGUUGAGUGAUCUGUCGCGGGUUUACGAAAAAUACGUAAUCUACGAGAACAAGUGCCGCAUCCGGAGUUACGACUUCAAUGAUACCGCAAUUAUCGAGAAAUACUUCUCGAGCGAACCGAAGCAGUGUCCCAAGAACGCUAAACCUUUCAUUUUUUAUCCUGUGAUUAAUGCGACCGCGGGUCACUCCUGUGUAGGAAUCGAUCGGACGGUUUUCGACAAAUCAUACGAUGGUGAUUUCGACCAAUGGAACUGUACUUACAAAGAAGCCAUCCGCGCAACAAAUUAUCAAGUCAUCGACAAACACCACGAUUUCGGCAAAAACAAAACUUUGAAAGUCGGCGAUUGUCCGAAAGAAGAAUUCAUCUGGAUCGAGUGUGAGCGACCCGGAAGGAAUCAGACUUAUCAGCAACCACUCAUGCUGCCUCUGGUGAAAGCAGCGCGCGCACCGAUCCGACCCAACAACAUUGGCAAGAAACCGUUACACGUGCUGGUGGUCGGACUCGACUCGGUUUCACGACUCAAUGCUCACAGACAGUUCCCAAAAACCAUGCGAUUUUUACGAUCGAAGAAGAACCUCGUCGAAUUGUUCGGUUACAACAAGAUCGGUCUAAACUCGGCGCCGAAUCAGAUCCCGCUCCUCACUGGAAUACCUUAUGCGGAUCCGGGAGGACUCAGAUCUCGUCUGGGCUCGAGUUACUACGACAAUGUGACUCGGUAUCUCUGGGACGACUACGCUGACCGCGGCUACAGGACCAUGUUCUACGAAGAGCAAUGGAUCUACGGUCUCUUCGUGUAUCCGUCGUACAAGGGUUUCAAGAAGGUUCCGACAACUUACUGGCCACGACCGAUGAUGCAAGCGAUCGACAAAUCCACCCUGAAAGCAGCGGGUUACAGCUGGUGUAUCGGUCCCGACUUCCCUGCCAAACAUUAUUUAGACUACACUUACAACACGAUGAAGAUUCUCGGCAAUGAUCGACCGUUAUUCUCGUAUUCUUGGCUCAGUGAAACGGCUCAUGACCAAGUGAACGGCGGGAAAAGGGUCGACGGAUACUUCUACGACUUCUUCUCGAAGAUGGACAGAGACGGUGUUCUGAAUAACACCGCUGUGUUCUUCAUAUCGGAUCAUGGUUUUCGAUUCGGUGCGUUCAGAAAAACCGCUCUCGGUCGGUACGAGGACAUGCUCCCGUACGGCUUCGUCCUGAUGCCUGAUUGGUACUACGACGAGAAUCCCGAAGCUCUGGAGAACCUCAAGAUCAACUCUCGACGACUCGUGACUGUUUACGAUCUCCACGCGACCCUACUCGAGCUCUCAGAGCCCUGGAACGAGGGAAGGGUUACCCGGACGGCUAAUGGCUACAGUCUCUUCAGCAAUGUUAUCCCUGGCGAACGGAAUUGUGAAGACGCGGAUAUCAAUUUCCAGUUCUGCACUUGUUUCGAGCCGCAGCCCUACCCUCGGAAGGGCAAUCUAUCGCGAUCCUUGGCGAAUUUCGUCAUCGGGGAGAUCAACGGCGAGAUUCGAAAAAUAACGCUACGGGAAAAUGCCAAGAAUGGGCUCUGGACAGCGUUGAUGACUUCGUGCGUCUCUCCGAGGGCAACGAGUGGACCAAUUACUAUAAGUCCACCAUCAAGACGAAGCCCUCUGCUCAAUUCGAGGUCGCAGUCUCAUACAAUCAGACCGAUCGUUCUUGGAAACUCCUGUCGAGUAUAGAUCGAACCGAUUGGUUCAGCUCGCAUGCUAAAUGCGUCAAAAAAGAAUCGUAUGAAAGAUACUGCUACUGUAAAUGAUGCACAGUGAGAACUCUUAAAUGGGUCCGUUCGCGGUUCCUGCGAGUAGUGGACCGGUACCUCAAGGGGACCCACUAGGCGUCCGGAUUCCAUGGCCUCUCAUGGUUUGCGGAUGCGAGGGAAAACGGUGUGAUAAGCCAGGUGGUUCCUUCACUCACGACGACCCUAAUAAGUAAGGUUUUUUUACUGGGGAAGAUCUUAGAACAAAAGAAUAGAAUCUACAAGAGUCAAUUCCUGAUAAGCUGAUCCGCCAAAGACGUUAUGCGGAUAUCCGAGAAAAAAUGUUUUGAUUUCAGAAUAAGGUUUGCGUUAUCUGAAUGUCGUCAAGCUUACUGUCAAGAAUUCGGGGUUAGUUGUGCGGUGGCCACCAGAAUCGGCCGCGGUCUCAGCCUGCAGCUUGAGUGUUCGAGCUGACUCACGAUGUGUUGUCUUAAUGUUAAUCAUUCAACGUUCUCCGGACAGGUCGUUGCGAUGACGUUGCGAACCGUGAGACUUCUCUACACAUGUUGUACAUAAGUCGAGCAUUUAUGAGGCGAUGAGAGGACAAAUCUUUUUAUCGUCUGGUUCAUCUAGUCAAGGUGUAAAAUAUGUGAAAUAAUAUAUCGAUGAAUUCUGAAAACAA